rnacentral:misc_RNA from 1 species
UUCGCGACGUCAUGGAAAUGCAGCCCGGUCGUCGGCUCGUCGAGAAUGUAGAGCGUCCGCCCGGUCGCGCGCUUGCUGAGUUCCUUGGCGAGCUUGACGCGUUGCGCUUCGCCGCCAGAGAGCGUGGUCGCCUGCUGGCCGACAUGGAUGUAGUCGAGCCCGACGCGAUGGAGCGUCUUGAAUGUCUCGCGCACGCGCGGCACGGCCUUGAAGAACUCGGCGGCUUCUUCCACCGUCAUAUCCAGCACGUCGGCGAUUGACUUGCCCUUGAACAACACUUCAAGGGUUUCGCGGUUGUAACGUUUGCCCUUGCAG